GAUGAACGCUGGCGGCGUGCCUAAUACAUGCAAGUCGAGCGAACAGAUAAGGAGCUUGCUCCUUUGACGUUAGCGGCGGACGGGUGAGUAGCACGUGGGUAACCUACCUAUAAGACUGGGAUAACUUCGGGAAACCGGAGCUAAUACCGGAUAACAUUUGGAACCGCAUGGUUCUAAAGUGAAAGAUGGUUUUGCUAUCACUUAUAGAUGGACCCGCGCCGUAUUAGCUAGUUGGUAAGGUAACGGCUUACCAAGGCGACGAUACGUAGCCGACCUGAGGGGGGGGUCGGCCACACUGGAACUGAGACACGGUCCAGACUCCGACGGGAGGCAGCAGUAGGGAAUCUUCCGCAAUGGGCGAAAGCCUGACGGAGCAACGCCGCGUGAGUGAUGAAGGGUUUCGGCUCGUAAAACUCUGUUAUUAGGGAAGAACAAAUGUGUAAGUAACUGUGCACGUCUUGACGGUACCUAAUCAGAAAGCCACGGCUAACUACGUGCCAGCAGCCGCCGUAA
rnacentral:rRNA from 1 species